GAUGAAGAACGCAGCGAAAUGCGAUAAGUAAUGUGAAUUGCAGAAUUCAGUGAAUCAUCGAAUCUUUGAACGCACCUUGCGCCCUUUGGCCAUUCCGAAGGGCAUGCCUGUUUGAGUAUCAUGAACACCUCAACUCUUCAUGGUUUUCCGUGAUGAGCUUGGACUUUGGGGGUCUUGCUGGCCUAUGGUCAGCUCCUCUAAAAUAAAUCAGCUUGCCAGUGUUUGGUGGGUAUCACAGGUGUGAUAACUAUCUACGCUUGUGGUUUUCCACCAGGUAACCUUCAGCAGUGGAGGUUCGCUGGAGCUCACAGAUGUGUCUCUCCUCAGUGAGGACAGCUCUCUGAAUGUUUGAUCUCAAAUCAGGUAGGACUACCCGCUGAACUUAAGCAUAUCAUAAGCGGAGGA
rnacentral:misc_RNA from 1 species